rnacentral:rRNA from 1 species
AACGAACGCUGGCGGCAUGCCUAACACAUGCAAGUCGAACGAGACCUUCGGGUCUAGUGGCGCACGGGUGCGUAACGCGUGGGAAUCUACCCUUGGGUUCGGAAUAACAGUUAGAAAUGACUGCUAAUACCGGAUGAUGACGAAAGUCCAAAGAUUUAUCGCCGAGGGAUGAGCCCGCGUUGGAUUAGCUAGUUGGUGUGGUAAAGGCGCACCAAGGCGACGAUCCAUAGCUGGUCUGAGAGGAUGAUCAGCCACACUGGGACUGAGACACGGCCCAGACUCGUACGGGGGGCGGCAGUGGGGAAUAUUGGACGAUGGGCGCAAGCCUGAUCCAGCAAUGCCGCGUGAGUGAUGAAGGCCUUAGGGUUGUAAAGCUCUUUUACCCGGGAUGAUAAUGACAGUACCGGGAGAAUAAGCUCCGGCUAACUCCGUGCCAGCCGCCGCGGUAA